rnacentral:tRNA from 1 species
CUUUUAUAGGAUAGAAGUGAUCCGUUGGUCUUAGGAGCCAAAGACUUGGUGCAACUCCAAAUGAAAGUA